rnacentral:rRNA from 1 species
GCUUACGGCCAUACCACCCGGGAAAUGGCCGAUCACAUCUGAACUCGGAAGUAAAGCAGGGUCGGGCCUGGUUAGUACUUAGAUGGGAGACCGCCUGGGAAUACCAGGUGCUGUAAGCU